rnacentral:rRNA from 1 species
CUUGCAUCAUGAUUUACAUUUGAGUGAGUGGCGAACUGGUGAGUAACACGUGGGAAACCUGCCCAGAAGCGGGGGAUAACACCUGGAAACAGAUGCUAAUACCGCAUAACAACUUGGACCGCAUGGUCCGAGCUUGAAAGAUGGCUUCGGCUAUCACUUUUGGAUGGUCCCGCGGCGUAUUAGCUAGAUGGUGGGGUAACGGCUCACCAUGGCAAUGAUACGUAGCCGACCUGAGAGGGUAAUCGGCCACAUUGGGACUGAGACACGGCCCAAACUCCUACGGGAGGCAGCAGUAGGGAAUCUUCCACAAUGGACGAAAGUCUGAUGGAGCAACGCCGCGUGAGUGAAGAAGGGUUUCGGCUCGUAAAACUCUGUUGUUAAAGAAGAACAUAUCUGAGAGUAACUGUUCAGGUAUUGACGGUAUUUAACCAGAAAGCCACGGCUAACUACGUGCCAGCAGCCGCGGUAAUACGUAGGUGGCAAGCGUUGUCCGGAUUUAUUGGGCGUAAAGCGAGCGCAGGCGGUUUUUUAAGUCUGAUGUGAAAGCCUUCGGCUCAACCGAAGAAGUGCAUCGGAAACUGGGAAACUUGAGUGCAGAAGAGGACAGUGGAACUCCAUGUGUAGCGGUGAAAUGCGUAGAUAUAUGGAAGAACACCAGUGGCGAAGGCGGCUGUCUGGUCUGUAACUGACGCUGAGGCUCGAAAGUAUGGGUAGCAAACAGGAUUAGAUACCCUGGUAGUCCAUACCGUAAACGAUGAAUGCUAAGUGUUGGAGGGUUUCCGCCCUUCAGUGCUGCAGCUAACGCAUUAAGCAUUCCGCCUGGGGAGUACGGCCGCAAGGCUGAAACUCAAAGGAAUUGACGGGGGCCCGCACAAGCGGUGGAGCAUGUGGUUUAAUUCGAAGCUACGCGAAGAACCUUACCAGGUCUUGACAUACUAUGCAAAUCUAAGAGAUUAGACGUUCCCUUCGGGGACAUGGAUACAGGUGGUGCAUGGUUGUCGUCAGCUCGUGUCGUGAGAUGUUGGGUUAAGUCCCGCAACGAGCGCAACCCUUAUUAUCAGUUGCCAGCAUUAAGUUGGGCACUCUGGUGAGACUGCCGGUGACAAACCGGAGGAAGGUGGGGAUGACGUCAAAUCAUCAUGCCCCUUAUGACCUGGGCUACACACGUGCUACAAUGGAUGGUACAACGAGUUGCGAACUCGCGAGAGUAAGCUAAUCUCUUAAAGCCAUUCUCAGUUCGGAUUGUAGGCUGCAACUCGCCUACAUGAAGUCGGAAUCGCUAGUAAUCGCGGAUCAGCAUGCCGCGGUGAAUACGUUCCCGGGCCUUGUACACACCGCCCGUCACACCAUGAGAGUUUGUAACACCCAAAGUCGG